rnacentral:lncRNA from 1 species
UGUGUCGCUUCUCUUCUUUCCACAAUAAAUUAAUCAACACGCCUCUGUGUCCUAUAGGUACAGUACAUAGUCGCAUUUGUCAUCCAUUCAUAUGAUUAUUCAGAUUGAGUUAUUUUGGGAGAAAAACGAGAAAAAAGUCAUCCGGAUAUUGUCCCGUCAUUGGACGAAAUUUUAAGUCAGAUUAGACUUCCGGUUUGCGUUUUUCUAUAUACUCUGAC